rnacentral:lncRNA from 1 species
AAAGCUACCAGAGACCUGGUAGCUUGACCUUACUGACUGCUUGGUUAGCGCAUCAUCAUCGUUAGGGUCAGGAAAUAUGGAGCAACUCAAGCCUCAGCCAAGGUCAGGGGCCAGCUGCACCAGCCACCAUCCACAGGAGGAGACAGCACUGCCCUCAAGGGCUUGCUGGUGAAAUACCCCAAAAUACAAUGUUUGGUAGGAGAAAUCAUGAUGUGUCUGUUCAAGGGGUCCUGCAGCACAGGGGAUGUGCUCAUUUCACUAAUGCCACUGAAGCAACUAACUGCUCUGGGCCAGGGCUGACCCCAGUGUUUCCAAAGCCCAGUCCUUUGCUACAGCCCAGUACGUUUCAGACUGGCCAUCUAGCAGAAUCUGGACUUCAAUACUUCUGGCUCAGCAGGCAUAACUCACUGUAGGGCUAUGCAGAAAUCUGGAAUUUGGGCUCUUUGCUCAGGGAAGAAGGACAUAACUACAUUAACCAUCUGGUUUUGAAAGAGAUCCAGCUGCUACAGACAACUUCAGUGGAUGUGGAUGAAAAUGAUAAGAGCAUUCACUGAUGACAAAGGAUCACAUAUGGAUAUUUAGCCAGAAAAGGAGAAGAGUUAGAAGGGACUUGGCGCAAAUAUUUGGGGCAUGCACGAAAACAAUCAGUUCCUCUUUUUACCAUGUCUUGUCAGUACAUGGCAGGUAUUAAAUGGCAACGUAUGUGGAACAGAUAAUAAGAAGAUGGUUGUAUGCAGUAAUACUGUCAGCUUUUGAAAUAUACUGGCCCGGUUUCAGAAAGCCAAAGGGAAUGCUGUGGCUGGGCACAACAGCCACAGCAUGGAAGCCCAGAGGACAACCCAGGAAUUUCACUGGAAAACUGAGCCUUUUAGUGGAAUUUCACUGGAGACUCGAACUGAGCCUUUUCUACUUCACUGGUCAUUGCCUGUGGGGAGUUUCCAAAGAUAUUUUGCAUGCAGAAAAUCUUGAUAUCUUUCAACUGUACCAAUAA